UUAAAUACAGGAUCAGUUCAUUUGCAUAUUGCUCAGAUGCUUCAGUGCUCUGAGAGUGUUUAUAGUGCUGUGAGUUUAACACUUCAUCACUGACACACACAACAAUCUUCAUCAACAUGACCUUCAUCAUCAUCUUCAUCUGGACUCUCACAGCGUUUGCUCAAGAGUGUAGAGGACAGAUCAGCGUCACUCAGAGUCCCUCAACAGCAGCUCAACCAGGAGAAACAGUGAAGAUCAGCUGCAAAACCAGCACUGAUGUGUACAGAUGGAGUGAUGGGGAUGAAGGUUUAGCCUGGUACUUACAGAAACCUGGAGAAGCUCCUAAACUCCUGAUUCGUUACGUAAAAAAGCUUGAGUCAGGAACUCCAUCUAGAUUCAGUGGCAGUGGAUCUAACAGUGAUUUCACUCUGACCAUCAGUGGAGUCCAGACUGAAGAUGCUGGACACUAUUACUGUCAGAGUUUACACAGUGGUGGUGUGUUCACACAGUGAUAAAGCGUGGUACAAAAACCUGUGUCAGUCAGA